rnacentral:rRNA from 1 species
CAGCCGCCGCGGUAAUACCGGCAGCUCAAGUGAUGGCCGCUAUUAUUGGGCCUAAAGCGUCCGUAGCCGGCUAGACAGGUCCGUCGGGAAAUCCACCCGCUCAACGGGUGGGCGUCCGGCGGAAACCAGCUAGCUUGGGACCGAGCGACCUGAGGGGUACGUCCGGGGUAGGAGUGAAAUCCCGUAAUCCCGGACGGACCAUCGGUGGCGAAAGCGCCUCAGGAGAGCGGAUCCGACGGUGAGGGACGAAAGCUAGGGUCUCGAACCGGAUUAGAUACCCGGGUAGUCCUAGCCGUAAACGAUGCUCGCUAGGUGUGGCGCUGGCUACGAGCCAGCGCUGUGCCGUAGGGAAGCCGUGAAGCGAGCCGCCUGGGAAGUACGUCUGCAAGGAUGAAACUUAAAGGAAUUGGCGGGGGAGCAC